rnacentral:rRNA from 1 species
UACAGAGGUCCCGAGCGUUGUUCGGAUUCAUUGGGCGUAAAGCGCACGUAGGCGGUUCGUUAUGUCGGAUGUGAAAGCCCUUGGCUUAACCGAGGAAGUGCAUCCGAAACUGGCGAGCUAGAGUACUAAAGAGGAUCGCGGAAUUCCCGGUGUAGAGGUGAAAUUCGUAGAUAUCGGGAGGAACACCGGUGGCGAAGGCGGCGAUCUGGGUAGAUACUGACGCUGAGGUGCGAAAGCGUGGGGAGCAAACAGG